AUGUUCUCGGCAGAGAGCAACUUAAGAAACAGGUGGAGGUUAAGUAAAACUUUGAGUGAAAAUAUAUUUUUGAAGAUAGAUGAAAACUUGAAAAUCGAAACACAAAUACUCGAGGAACGUAAGAAGAAGGCUUUAAAGCUUCUUAUCAUAGGUCCGGGAGAGUCAGGAAAAAGUACAAUAGUCAAGCAAGUAAGAAUUCUUCAUUGUGGAGGAUACAGUGUUGAAGAAAAAAGAGCUCUAAAACAUGGAAUUUAUAUAAAUAUCUUGGAAGGUAUUGAUGAGAUACACUGGGCAAUUAUGUGGAGACAAUUAAUUUACGAAAAUCCAUCUUCAAUUGAAUGCCUAAAUCAAAUCCGAAUAUUUACGAAACAGUUCAAUAAAACUGGAGAGACUGAAAAUGUUUUGUGCAAAGACAUUAUAAAGUCUAUCCAGAUGUACAUAAAAGAUGAAACAGUUGCCAUGAUGUUGAGGAAUAAAACUGUUUAUAAUAUUGAAGACUCAACAAUUCAUUUCAUUGAAAACCUUGCAAGAGUUAUUGGAAAAGAAUACUUGCCAACCGGAGAAGAUAUAUUGAAAACCAGAGUCCCAACCUUGGGAAUUGCACAAUAUGAAGCAAAUAUAAAACAUUUGACUUUCAAAUUCAUUUUUUUCGACAUUGGGGGACAACGUGCUCAACGUCGAAAAAUUACCCAUGUGUUGUGAGAUGGGCUGGGCUAUGCCACCAUCUCUCAAUUACAAAGUUCUUUGAGCGCGACGAACACAUUUCCAUCGUGUUCGCCGUAGCUUAAAACCUUUAUGCUCCCUUUAUUCUCGCAAUUCUCUCCCGAUUAGCAUCUUUCUAAGCGCCUUCCCAUUCAAAUUUGCCGCCAACCGGCUGGGUCUCGCCACGCGCACGCGCCGCCGACCGCGGCGCGGCGCAGCUUGCUCAUCCUAAUUGGCUGGCCUAAAUAGUUUCAUUCAUUCGAUUAUCAACCGCUCCUUCUGAGCGGUCGUCCCCUUUACCUUUUCCGUUUUAUUAAUUGAUAUUUAGUUGUUUUCUCUCCGAAGUAUUGAUUGCAUCGGCAAUCACGGGCAUUGGGAUCAGAGCACAGCCUCUGACCCAAUUGCCUAGUUGAUUGACCGAUUGACAACAACAAUACAUGAACAGUUCACUCAUCAUCCGCUGGACUUGAUGGUACAAUCCACAGCCGCUAAUUGAUUGUCUUAAUUGUUUAUUAAUGAAGGAGUCUUAUAGUCAUACAAUGUGUUACUCGUUACAUCGCUUAUCUUUAUCCUUCCUCGCUCGGCACUUGACCUUCGCCUCCUCUCUCUAGACGCUCUGGUUUGAACUCGGCUGUGUUUCCCCAACGCACAAUUAGCUGAGCGGUCAUGUGUUAGACGAUUCCCAUGCAAUUCUUUUUAUUACUUCACUAUCAGAAUAUAAUCAAGUUUUGAGAGAAGAUGCUUUUGUGAGCCGAAUAGAAGAAUCACUUCAUUUGUUUAAUGAAAUAUGCAAUGGGAUGUAUUUUCAUUCAACCGCAAUUAUUCUAUUUUUGAACAAAAUUGAUCUUUUCGAAAUCAAAAUCACUCACACCAACAUUACAGUAGCAUUUCCAGACUACGAAGGUCCUCGAGAACGUGAUUGUGCACUUGAGUACAUUCGAGUUCAAUUUAUUUCUCUCAAUAAUAACAAAAAUCGGAAAAUAUAUCAGCAUGUCACAAGUGCCACGGAUACAGCUAGAAUUCAAGUUGUCAUUGAUAUGUUGUUCGAUAUAAUCAUAUCUGCAAGUUUGAAAAUGGUGGGAGUUUAG
rnacentral:misc_RNA from 1 species